UGAUCCUGGCUCAGGAUGAACGCUAGCGGCAGGCUUAACACAUGCAAGUCGAGGGGUAACAUUGUAGCUUGCUACAGAUGACGACCGGCGCACGGGUGCGUAACGCGCAUAGAACUUACCUUUUACAGAGGGAUAGCCUUUAGAAAUGAAGAUUAAUACCUCAUAGUAUUAUUGAUUGGCAUCAAUUAAUAAUUAAAGAUUUAUCGGUAAAAGAUGGCUAUGCGUCCUAUUAGCUAGAUGGUAAGGUAAUGGCUUACCAUGGCUACGAUAGGUAGGGGCCCUGAGAGGGGGAUCCCCCACACUGGUACUGAGACACGGACCAGACCCCUACGGGAGGCAGCAGUGAGGAAUAUUGGGCAAUGGAGGUAACUCUGACCCAGCCAUGCCGCGUGCAGGAAGACUGCCCUAUGGGUUGUAAACUGCUUUUAUACAGGAAGAAACACUCGUACGUGUACGAGCUUGACGGUACUGUAAGAAUAAGGACCGGCUAACUCCGUGCCAGCAGCCGCGGUAAUACGGAGGGUCCGAGCGUUAUCCGGAAUCAUUGGGUUUAAAGGGUCCGCAGGCGGUCAAUUAAGUCAGAGGUGAAAUCCCAUAGCUUAACUAUGGAACUGCCUUUGAUACUGGUUGACUUGAGUCAUAUGGAAGUAGAUAGAAUGUGUAGUGUAGCGGUGAAAUGCAUAGAUAUUACACAGAAUACCGAUUGCGAAGGCAGUCUACUACGUAUGUACUGACGCUCAUGGACGAAAGCGUGGGGAGCGAACAGGAUUAGAUACCCUGGUAGU
rnacentral:rRNA from 1 species